UACGGAGGGUGCAAGCGUUAUCCGGAUUUACUGGGUUUAAAGGGUCCGUAGGCGGUUUGGUAAGUCAGUGGUGAAAGCCCAUCGCUCAACGGUGGAACGGCCAUUGAUACUGCCAGACUUGAAUUAUUAGGAAGUAACUAGAAUAUGUAGUGUAGCGGUGAAAUGCUUAGAGAUUACAUGGAAUACCAAUUGCGAAGGCAGGUUACUACUAAUGGAUUGACGCUGAUGGACGAAAGCGUGGGUAGCGAACAGG
rnacentral:rRNA from 1 species